rnacentral:lncRNA from 1 species
CUAUAUAUGGAAAAAUACACCUUUUAAAAUGUCUAAAAUGUGCAGUAGAGGGUGCAGUAGAGAUGUGCAGUAGAUGUGCAGUAGAGGGUGCCCAGUAGAAUGCAGAGUGUCGCAGUAGAAGUGAAGAGUGCAGUUAGAGGGGUGCAUAAGAGAUGUGCAUAGAUGUGCAGUAGAUGUGCAGUAGAGAUGUGCAGUAGAGGGUGCAAGGUAGAAGGGAGUCAGUAGAGAUGGUGCAGUAGAGGGUGCAGUAGAGGGUGCAGUAGAGAUGUGUGCAGUAGUGGUUAGGGUGCAGUAGAGAUGUGCAUUAAGUGCAGUAGAGGGGGCAGUAGAGAUGUGGCAGUAGAGAGUAACAGUAGAGUUGUUAGAGGUGCAGUAGAGGGUGCAGUAAAGAUGUGCAGUAGAGAUGUGCAGUAGAGAUGUGCAGUGGAGGGUGCAGUAGAGGGUAGGGUGCAGUAGAGAUGUGCAGUAGAGGUUUGGGAACAGCAAAACCAAAAAAAACAAUAACCUACCACUGGGAUUGAACAUGCAACCUACAGCGCUGAAGCACGGUAUUUUCGCCCAUCCACCAUCCUCGCCAAAAACACCCUAGAAAGCCAACAUCCUACUCGAAGGUUAUAGCACUCACCGCUGUCUGUAGUGGCAGGUUUUGAAGGAAAUUCUAGACGUUCUUGGGACGUGGAUGGCAACUCAUUUCGACUUCAAACUGGAGUGAUC